CCUACGGGAGGCAGCAGUAAGGAAUAUUGGACAAUGCUCGCAAGAGUGAUCCAGCCAUGCCGCGUGCAGGAAGAAUGCCCUAUGGGUAGUAAACUGCUUUUGAACUAGAGAAAACCCCAGUACGUGUACUGGGCUGAUAGUAUAGUUAGAAUAAGCAUCGGCUAACUUCGUGCCAGCAGCCGCGGUAAGACGAAGGAUGCAAGCGUUAUCCGGAUUCAUUGGGUUUAAAGGGAGCGUAGGUGGACUGAUAAGUCAGUGGUGAAAUCUCCGAGCUUAACUCGGAAAUUGCCAUUGAUACUGUUGGUCUUGAGUACAGUUGCUGUGGGCGGAAUAUGACAUGUAGUGGUGAAAUACAUAGAGAUGUCAUAGAACACCGAUUGCGAAGGCAGCUCACAAAGCUGUAACUGACACUGAGGCUCGAAAGUGGNGGAGCACAGAUAGAUACUACGUAGUCGCACGUAACGAUAGUAUACUCG
rnacentral:rRNA from 1 species